rnacentral:rRNA from 1 species
UACGUAGGGGCUAGCGUUAUCCGGAAUUACUGGGCGUAAAGGGUGCGUAGGUGGUUUCUUAAGUCAGAGGUGAAAGGCUACGGCUCAACCGUAGUAAGCCUUUGAAACUGGGAAACUUGAGUGCAGGAGAGGAGAGUGGAAUUCCUAGUGUAGCGGUGAAAUGCGUAGAUAUUAGGAGGAACACCAGUUGCGAAGGCGGCUCUCUGGACUGUAACUGACACUGAGGCACGAAAGCGUGGGGAGCAAACAGGAUUAGAUACCCGCGUAGUCCCUGAG